rnacentral:lncRNA from 1 species
CACUUAAACAAACCAAUGGAGUUACAGACGAAGGCCUACAGCCAAAAGUCUACAAAAGACCGACUCUUAAAAAUGAACUGUCCUACGACCUACAAGUCGGACACGCUCUCCAAUCCUUAUGACUUCACCUCUGCAACUCCUCAAGGCCAACCAAAGCUAUCUGGCCGCUCCGUCCACUAGGGACCUGAAAUUUUAAUCCCACAACCGAGAUGAGACAAUGUCUCAGUAAGUUCAACCUCCUAAACCCCUAUUAGAAAGAAAAUACGCCCAAUGGUGGCCUAGCCACAUCACACAGAGAACUUACCUCGCCUCAAUUCCUUCCUGCAGGUUAGCACAAUUCAAAUCGCUCAAUCACAGAUAGUAAUAGGAACUUAAACAACCAGAACGCAUUCACUUUCAUAUAACCAACAACCAUGGGGGUCUUGAUUAUAAGACUAAAUCGUUAUGACACGUCCCAUUCCAUGCCGCACAAUUCCGUCCCAUAAUUCGACCCAUCAACAACACUCAACAUGCAUUCCAAUUGUCAUUCACUGCCAAACAAGCGCACAGCUUACUCGCAGUUCAGCUAUCUACUGGCAUAUAACCAGGCAUCGCCUCCCCACCUUGGAGUGCGGCUUCGUUAGUACGUCGAUGGCAUUCCCGAAGGAGCAUGGGUCCAGUUGGCCUAGCCUCUACUGCGACCCGAGCCACGUCACUCUCUUGACGGCAUUUCUAGAAGAACAAAGAUCCAGUCGGCCUAGCCACUACUGCGACCCGAGCCACGUCACUCUCUUGACGGCAUUUCUAGCAGAAUAAGGAUCCAGUCGGCCUAGCCACUACUGCGACCCGAGCCACGUCACUCUCUUGACGGCAUUUCUAACAAAAUAAGGAUCCAGUCGGCCUAGCCACUACUGCGACCCGAGCCUUUCAACUAGCACGCGACAAUUCGAUACCGAUCCCUGGAUACUUUACAUUUCACUCACAUAAUCCAAUUACGAUAUUAACUAUUAACAAUCCAAUUUCAAUGCCAAACUCGACACUUAGGAUUUUCUAAACAAAAUCCAUACUUUUCACAAUCCACACUCAAUUUAUAAUAUCCAAUCAUCAAUUUGAAAAUCUGACUACACAGCAGCGACCGGCACGAAAUUCUAAGAAUUUAGAGUCCUAAUAAAAUUUUAGGAAUUUAAUAAUUAAUUAAAUUUAUUCCGAAAAUAAUUAAAUAAUAAUAUUUUAAUAAUUUCGAAUAAUAUAAUAUUAUUAAAUUAUUAAACAAUUUCGAAAUAUUUAAAUAAAUCAAAAGUAAAUUCCUUUAUGUCACAUCACAGUUUAUAUUAAUAUAAUCACUCACUUAACCUUAAAUUAAACACAAUUUAAAUUAAUCAAACACCUUAAUAUAAUCUACAUUUAAAUAAACUAAACUAACCACCUAAUAACACUUAACAUAAACUAAGCACCCAUAAAGCAUCAUUAACCCUCUAAUCAAGGUUUAGUGAGUUAAACUCACCGGAUUAGCGAGCCGAGCGGACCAAACCGACGGGGACGCCGAGGAGAACAACUUUCCUCAAAGCGGGCCGAGCAUCCGGGCUUGGGAAGGCGGCCAAAACGAGCC